rnacentral:piRNA from 1 species
UGUGCUUCUGACCCAAACUAUGCCCCCACUA